rnacentral:lncRNA from 10 species
GUAUGAUUUGCCUAGCAGUGAUAUUAUUUGUUAGAGACAGGACAAAUAAAUGUCCAUAUUUAUGUUAUUUCUAGUUUUUGCAGGACUUUAUAAUUAAUCAUUAGGAAAAAUCAUAAUGAUGAUAAAACUUAGAAAAAUGCUAAAGAAGUAAGUAUAACAGUUUAAAAAGAAAAAGAUUUAAAAAGGAGAUUCUGUCAUUUGCCACAACACAGAAGGACCUGGAGGACAUUAUACUAAGCGAAAUAAGGCAGAUACAGAAAAAAAAUUUGAUCUCACUUAUAUGUGGAAUGUAAAAACAGAAGGUCAAAUAUACAAAGAUAGGCCAGGUGCGGUGGCUCACAACUGUAAAUCCAGCAGAUUGGGAGGCUGAGGAAGGUGGAUCACUUGAGCCCAGGAGUUGAGACCAGCCUGGGUAACAUAGCAAGACCCUGACCCUACCAAAAACAGAAAAAAAUAGCUGGGCAUAGUGGCACGCAUCUGUAGUCCCAGCUAUUUGGGAGGCUGAGGCGGGAGGAUCCCUUGAGCCCGGGAGGCAGAGGUUGUGGUGAGCCGAGAUCAAACCAAUGCACUCCAGCCUAGGUGAAAAAGCCAGGCCCUGUCUCUCUCUCCACAUAGAUAGAUAGAUAGAUAGAUAGAUAGAUAGAUAGAUAGAUAGAUAGACAGACAGACAGACAGAUAGAUAGAUGUAUAUGUAUGUGUGUACAUACACACACACAAAGCUAGAGAAUAAAACAAUGGUUACCAGGGUCUUCAUGUGGUGGGGAAAUGGGGAGAUGUAGGUCAAAGGAUACAAAGUACUAAAUAUGUAAGAAAUAGGUUGAAAGAUCUAAUGUACAGCAUGAAGACUAUAGUUAAUAGUUGUGUAUUGUAGUCAAGAUCUUUGCUAAAUGAGUAAACUAUAGCUGCUCUUGCCACAGGGGGAAAAUGUGGGUAACUAUGUGAGUUGGGGGAGAUGUUAGUUAAUUUAUUCCACUAUAGUAGCCAUUUUACUAUAUAUAUGUAUCUUAUAACAUCGUAUUGUAUACCUUCCAUAUACAUAAUAAAAUAUAUUUUAUAAAUAAAUAAAUGUAUAUAUUGUGAUUUGGUUGCCCAGAAAAGAAAGAAAGAAAGAAGAAAGAAAGAAAGAAAGAAAGAAAGAAAGAAAGAAAGAAAGAAAGAAAGAAAGAAAGAAAGAAAGAAAGAAAAAGAAAGAAAGAAAGAAAGAAAAAGAAACAGAAGAAGUUGCAGAGCAAAAUAAUGAGGAGACUGGGCCAGACUGCAAGAAAUGAUGCCUGGGCUGUGAGACCAUUCCUGUGGCCAUGAAGGAAACCUCCAAAGAAUCAGAGACCUUGGUGCUAGCAUUGCUGAGUCCCUGAAUCAGUGCCAACAACAACCCACCUACAUAUUUUGCAUCCUCUAUGAAAAACAACCCCCUUUGAAUUCAGGUUUUCUAACACAUACAGCCAAAAGCCUACCUGGCUGAUACAUUUAUAGACUACAUUGCUGUUGAGACUGCCCGAGAGACACCUGUCUGCAGAGCUCAUGUUUACCCAUUAUCACUUGUGCCUGCUUUCUUUUCCCAGGGUAUAACGAGUUCCUUGGUGUGCUCCUGUUGCUAUUUUCAGUCUUCCACCUCUCCUUGCAUAAGUCAAAACUUGGGAAUAUCCAGGCAGCCUUUCCUUCCAGCUCUUCCCCAUACCUUCUGCUUGCUCCCAAGUGCUAAUCUCACUUCCAGCUAUUUAUGCUGCAGGCUCUUCAUUUCUUGCCUUCCAAGCAGCCACAUUCUGGGUGAUACAGAACCAGGGUACCUGUUACUGGUGCUACUAAAUACCCCAACACAAACAUCACAAGAUUCCUUUUCAGUGUCACCAGGAGUAGGGACAUUCAUCUUCCCAUUAAAGACAAAUUAACCACUUGCCUGUCUCUACCUUGUCAGUUUUACUACCUUAGUCUCCACCGGUUCUCAAAAAGCCCUCCUGCCCACUCAGUCCUUCAUCCCUGCCUGCUCUCUGUUGAAGUCUGUUCCGCUCCAUACCCAACAACACUGGUAAAGGCUGCGCCAUCUUUGAAUAGUGUUUCCAUUUAUUAUUUUGUGUUAUUGUUAUUUAGACAAUCAAAUCGUUCACUUAAAUGAAUACAUUAUGAACAUAUUUUAAAUUGCCUAUGGACUUAUUUAAGAUAACAAUUCCUCAGAUCUAAAAUUAUUUACCCAUUUUUGUUAAAAAAGGAAAAAUUGGGGCUUGAAUUAGGUGAUUGAUAAUUUUAUUUUUCUUCAUAAAAUUAGCCCAUAUUCUGAAAAUGUUUAAUAUCAUAUAAAAAAUUAUAGUCAUAUGGGUUAAACCAUAAUGUCAGUAAAACAGCAUCUACAUUAGUCUGGGGGAAAAAAACUAUAUUCUGCCACCAGCAGAAAGAUGAAUUUUGUUGGCCUUUGAAAGUCAGAGGAUUAACUAGUGUUUGGGGGGAAAUGUUUUAAAAGAUACAGAACCUGUCUUAUUUUCUGCUUCAUGAACUAGUAACACAAACACUGGAGAGGCUGUGAUGGGUGUGUUCCAGCUGUCUGCUAACAGAUGAGGCUUUUGAGGUUGUGAGCCAAAGGAACAGCAAACACCAUUCUGUGUUUAAUAAGCCUUAUACUCUCCAGUAUUGAGAUUACCCGUGACAGAGUUAAAACUUGGUGGGGAAAAAAAAAAAGUUAUUCCAAGCCACUGGCACAACAUAAGAUCCUGCCAUUGUAAAGGAAUCACAUGGAUUGUGAAGGAAGCAAUUGUGAAAG